AGCAGCCGCGGUAAUUCCAGCUCCAAUAGCGUAUAUUAAAGUUGUUGCAGUUAAAAAGCUCGUAGUUGAAUUUCGGGAUUUGUCAGUUGGUCGGGCUUCACUGUCCGUAUUGACUUGAUGGAUUCUUACCUUCUGAAUAACCAGCAUGCUAUUAAGUUAGUGCGUUGGGGAAGCAGAUCUAUUACCUUGAAGAAAUUAGAGUGCUUAAAGCGAGCUAGUGCUUGAAUAGAUUAGCAUGGAAUAAUAAAAUAGGACGGCAUGGUUCUAUUUUGUUGGUUUCUAGGAUCACCGUAAUGAUUAAUAGGGAUAGUUGGGGGCAUUAGUAUUCAAUUGUCAGAGGUGAAAUUCUUGGAUUUAUUGAAGACUAACUUCUGCGAAAGCAUUUGCCAAGGAUGUUUUCAUUAAUCAAGAACGAAAGUUAGGGGAUCGAAGACGAUCAGAUACCGUCGU
rnacentral:rRNA from 1 species